AUACGGAGGAUCCGAGCGUUAUCCGGAUUUAUUGGGUUUAAAGGGUGCGCAGGCGGCCAUUUAAGUCAGCGGUUAAAUCGUGGGGCUCAACCCCACUCUGCCGUUGAUACUGGGUGGCUUGAUUGCGGUCGAGGUUGGCGGAAUUCGUUGUGGAGCGGUGAAAUGCAUAGAUAUGACGAAGAACACCGAUUGCGUAGGCAGCUGACCAGAUCGCAAAUGACGCUCAUGCACGAAAGUGCGGGGAUCGAACAGGAUUAGAUACCCUGGUAGUCCGCACAGUAAACGAUGAAUACUUGUUUUCGGCGAUAUAAUGUCGGAGGCAAAGCGAAAGCGAUAAGUAUUCCACCUGGGGAGUACGCCGGCAACGGUGAAACUCAAAUGAAUUGACGGGG
rnacentral:rRNA from 1 species